AUUGAACGCUGGCGGCAUGCUUUACACAUGCAAGUCGAACGGUAACAGGCCGCAAGGUGCUGACGAGUGGCGAACGGGUGAGUAAUGCAUCGGAACGUGCCCAGUCGUGGGGGAUAACGCAGCGAAAGCUGCGCUAAUACCGCAUACGAUCUAUGGAUGAAAGCGGGGGACCGUAAGGCCUCGCGCGAUUGGAGCGGCCGAUGUCAGAUUAGGUAGUUGGUGGGGUAAAGGCUCACCAAGCCAACGAUCUGUAGCUGGUCUGAGAGGACGACCAGCCACACGGGGACUGAGACACGGCCCAGACUCCUACGGGAGGCAGCAGUGGGGAAUUUUGGACAAUGGGCGCAAGCCUGAUCCAGCAAUGCCGCGUGCAGGAAGAAGGCCUUCGGGUUGUAAACUGCUUUUGUACGGAACGAAACGGUCCUGGUUAAUACCUGGGACUAAUGACGGUACCGUAAGAAUAAGCACCGGCUAACUACGUGCCAGCCGCCGCGGUAAUAC
rnacentral:rRNA from 1 species